rnacentral:rRNA from 1 species
GAUUGAACGCUGGCGGCAGGCCUAACACAUGCAAGUCGAACGGUAACAGGAAGAAGCUCGCUUCUUUGCUGACGAGUGGCGGACGGGUGAGUAAUGUCUGGGAAACUGCCUGAUGGAGGGGGAUAACUACUGGAAACGGUAGCUAAUACCGCAUAACGUCGCAAGACCAAAGAGGGGGACCUUCGGGCCUCUUGCCAUCGGAUGUGCCCAGAUGGGAUUAGCUAGUAGGUGGGGUAACGGCUCACCUAGGCGACGAUCCCUAGCUGGUCUGAGAGGAUGACCAGCCACACUGGAACUGAGACACGGUCCAGACUCCUACGGGAGGCAGCAGUGGGGAAUAUUGCACAAUGGGCGCAAGCCUGAUGCAGCCAUGCCGCGUGUAUGAAGAAGGCCUUCGGGUUGUAAAGUACUUUCAGCGGGGAGGAAGGGAGUAAAGUUAAUACCUUUGCUCAUUGACGUUACCCGCAGAAGAAGCACCGGCUA